rnacentral:tRNA from 1 species
CAGGAGAUAGUUUAAGAUAAAACAUCUUCCCUACACGUAGGCAAUGCCGGUUCAAACCCAGCUCUCCUGA